rnacentral:rRNA from 1 species
ACGAACUGUGCGAACGUUAUUCGGAAUCACUGGGCUUAAAGGGUGCGUAGGCGGCGGCUCCAGUCAGGUGUGAAAUCCCCCGGCUCAACCGGGGAACAGCGCUUGAAACUAGGUCGCUCGAGUGAGGCAGGGGUGUAUGGAACUUCCGGUGGAGCGGUGAAAUGUGUAGAGAUCGGAAGGAACGCCGGCGGCGAAAGCGGUACACUGGGCCUUGUCUGACGCUGAGGCACGAAAGCUAGGGGAGUGAACGGGAUUAGAUACCCCGGUAAUCCUAGCCGUAAACACUGAGCACUGGAGGGGAGGGGUUUCGGCCCUUUCCCUCGCAGCGAAAGCGUUAAGUGCUCCGCCUGGGGAGUAUGGUCGCAAGGCUG